UACGAAGGGGGCUAGCGUUGCUCGGAAUCACUGGGCGUAAAGCGCACGUAGGCGGAUUGCUAAGUCAGGGGUGAAAUCCUGGAGCUCAACUCCAGAACUGCCUUUGAUACUGGCGAUCUUGAGUUCGGGAGAGGUGAGUGGAACUGCGAGUGUAGAGGUGAAAUUCGUAGAUAUUCGCAAGAACACCAGUGGCGAAGGCGGGUCUCUGGACAGUUCCUGACGCUGAGGCACGAAGGCCAGGGGAGCAAACGGG
rnacentral:rRNA from 1 species